rnacentral:tRNA from 1 species
GGGCCGUUAGCUCAGUCUGGUAGAGCACCUGACUCUUAAUCAGGGGGUCGCAGGUUCGAAUCCUGCACGGCCCA